rnacentral:rRNA from 1 species
UGGGGAUUUUUGCACAAUGGGGGAAACCCUGAUGCAGCGACGCCGCGUGAUUUAGAAGGCCUUCGGGUUGUAAAAAUCUUUUCUACGGGAAGAAAAUGACAGUACCAUAGGAAUAAGGACCGGCUAAUUACGUGCCAGCAGCCGCGGUAAUACGUAAGGUCCGAGCGUUGUCCGGAAUCAUUGGGCGUAAAGGGUACGUAGGCGGGUAAGCAAGUUAGAAGUGAAAUCCUAUAGCUCAACUAUAGUAAGCUUUUAAAACUGCUCAUCUUGAGGUAUGGAAGGGAAAGUGGAAUUCCUAGUGUAGCAGUGAAAUGCGCAGAUAUUAGGAGGAAUACCGGUGGCGAAGGCGACUUUCUGGCCAUAACCUGACGCUGAGGUACGAAAGCGUGGGUAGCAAACAGG